rnacentral:rRNA from 1 species
GGGCUACACACGUGCUACAAUGGCGCAUACAAAGAGAAGCGACCUCGCGAGAGCAAGCGGACCUCAUAAAGUGCGUCGUAGUCCGGAUUGGAGUCUGCAACUCGACUCCAUGAAGUCGGAAUCGCUAGUAAUCGUGGAUCAGAAUGCCACGGUGAAUACGUUCCCGGGCCUUGUACACACCGCCCGUCACACCAUGGGAGUGGGUUGCAAAAGAAGUAGGUAGCUUAACCUUCGGGAGGGCGCUUACCACUUUGUGAUUCAUGACUGGGGUGAAGUCGUAACAAGGUAACCGUAGGGGAACCUGC